ensembl:lncRNA
CUCAGAAAGUCCUUCCAGAAUUCUUUGCUCUCCCCCCACCUUCCACUGCUCUGCUUUGUGUAAAUCCUGCUUGCUGUAUUCCCAGGGAAACUCCAAUGGAAUUAAGUUUUGUAGGUGUAAAAAGAGGUAUGCAAAGAAGAGCAAACUUGUACUUGGGCCUCUCGAGAUUGACAGGAGUCACUCACUGAGCUACCAGCAUUAAAAGCCACUUUUUGAUCCUAUCUUCAUGUUAAGAGUGGUCUGUCUGGGAUCUUCACAGUUUCUUGCUUCAUCUGGACUACUUCUGCACAGGAUGGUAAAGUGCCUAGAGCAAUGUAGGCGGUCAAAAAACUGCAGUUGCCAAUCAUCAGUAUCAUAACACUGUGAAAAACAGAAUGUGAGCUCCUCAGAAGAGAUUGUGUGUGUGUCAAAACAAGGAAAAGGUGCUGAGGUUGCUGGCCAUGGCAAUCUACAACCCCAGGAGGGGUGUGCAAAAGCACUGAGGAGACAAUGUUCUAAGAGAAUAUAUAAUCGCUUGGGCAAGAGUGAGAACGCGUGUUCCUGUGUGGCCCACACCCUGAGAAAGAUUGACGACCUGUUAUGGGAUCUCGGGGCCGAGUCGGGCAGUGCCUCUGCAGCUUGCACCUGAACAGCAGGAAAAGUGAUCAAAGAGGAAGUGGAGUUCAGCACUCAGAUUUACACCACUCCAAGCUGCCCCCACGAGGGCUUCCUGUGAUAUUUCUGACACCAUUUCGGAAGAUCUUCCUGAAUAUCCAUGGAGUGCUGCGUUCCUGCCUUGGUCUUAAAGGAUGGUCAGCACUUUUCUGCAACCACAGCCAACUUGCAGACAAAGCAGCCACUUAUGUCGAUGGCUUGUUUAUAAUCAGCAGCUCUCUGGACAUGUGGCACAUCCUCGCCUUACAGGGACUUUCCCUGACCCCCGCCACACUGGGUAGCAGGUGAGUGCCCUGCAGUGCAGGUGACAGGUGUAUAUGUGUACAGUCACAUCCAAGUUCAGCUGCUUGUCCACCCCACAGGUCCUAAACAUCGGACACUGUCCUACAGCCUGGUACCAAAGAGAUAACUACCGCAUUCCCCAAAAACAAGACCUAACCAGAAAAUGAGCCUCACAUGACUUUUCAGGAUGCUCAUAAUACAACCCCUACUCAAAAAUAUGCCCCAGUUAAGAUCAUUGGCCAGACAGAUGCAUUUAAUGUGCCUAUUGCCAUACACAG